rnacentral:rRNA from 1 species
GACGAACGCUGGCGGCGUGCUUAACACAUGCAAGUCGAACGGAAAGGCCCUGCUUUUGUGGGGUGCUCGAGUGGCGAAAGGGUGAGUAACACGUGAGUAACCUGCCCUUGACUUUGGGAUAACUUCAGGAAACUGGGGCUAAUACCGGAUAGGAGCUCCUGCUGCAUGGUGGGGGUUGGAAAGUUUCGGCGGUUGGGGAUGGACUCGCGGCUUAUCAGCUUGUUGGUGGGGUAGUGGCAUACCAAGGCUUUGACGGGUAGCCGGCCUGAGAGGGUGACCGGCCACAAUGGUACUGAGGUAGGGACCAGACGCCAACGGGAGGCAGCAGUGGGAAAUAUGGCACAAUGGGCGGAAGUCUGAUGCAGCGACGCCGCGUGCGGAAUGACGGCCUGCGGGUUGUGAACCGCUUUCGCCUGUGACGAAGCGGGAGUGACGGUAAUGGGUAAAGAAGCACCGGCUAACUACGUG